rnacentral:pre_miRNA from 1 species
GGAAGUUAAUAAACUGUUUCUUAACUUUUAACUAAAAAAAUUAAGAACCGGUUCUUAAAUAAGGAUUUUAAGAACCGAUUCUUAGCAUUUUUAGUUAAAAAUUAAUAAUCAGUUUCUUAAUUUCC